CCUACGGGAGGCAGCAGUAGGGAAUCUUCCACAAUGGGCGAAAGCCUGAUGGAGCAACGCCGCGUGAGCGAAGAAGGUUUUCGGAUCGUAAAGCUCUGUUGUUGGUGAAGAAGGAUAGAGGUAGUAACUGGCCUUUAUUUGACGGUAAUCAACCAGAAAGUCACGGCUAACUACGUGCCAGCAGCCGCGGUAAU
rnacentral:rRNA from 1 species